UACGUAGGGGGCAAGCGUUGUCCGGAAUUAUUGGGCGUAAAGGGCUCGUAGGCGGUCUGUCGCGUCGAAAGUGAAAACGUCAGGGCCUUAACCCUGAGCCUGCUUCCGAUACGGGCAGACUAGAGGUAUGCAGGGGAGAACGGAAUUCCUGGUGUAGCGGUGAAAUGCGCAGAUAUCAGGAGGAACACCGGUGGCGAAGGCGGUUCUCUGGGCAUUACCUGACGCUGAGGAGCGAAAGUGUGGGGAGCGAACAGG
rnacentral:rRNA from 1 species